UAAGGGAUAUUGCACAAUGGACGCAAGUCUGAUGCAGCAACGCCGCGUGCCCGAUGAAGGCCUUCGGGUCGUAAAGGGCUUUUCUGGCUGAAGAUUUAGACUGUAAGCCAGGAAUAAGUGUCGGCUAACUACGUGCCAGCAGCCGCGGUAAAACGUAGGACGCGAGCGUUAUCCGGAGUUACUGGGCGUAAAGCGCGGGCAGGCGGUCUGACAAGUCUGAUGUGAAAUCACCCGGCUCAACCGGGCGAGGCCAUUGGAAACUGACAGGCUGGAGGGCAGUAGAGGUAGGCGGAAUUCCGGGUGGAGUGGUGAAAUGCGUAGAGAUCCGGAGGAACACCAGAGGCGAAGGCGGCCUACUGGGCUGCACCUGACGCUGAGCCGCGAAAGCCAGGGGAGCGAACGG
rnacentral:rRNA from 1 species